rnacentral:rRNA from 1 species
AGAUACCCGGGUAGUCCACGCCGUAAACGAUGAUAACUAGCUGUCCGGGCUCAUAGAGCUUGGGUGGCGCAGCUAACGCAUUAAGUUAUCCGCCUGGGGAGUACGGUCGCAGGAUUAAAACUCAAAGGAAUUGACGGGGGCCUGCACAAGCGGUGGAGCAUGUGGUUUAAUUCGAAGCAACGCGCAGAACCUUACCAGCCUUUGACAUCCUAGGACGGUUUCUGGAGACAGAUUCUUUCCCUUCGGGGACCUAGUGACAGGUGCUGCAUGGCUGCCGUCAG